GUAGCCCACCCACGUCCUGUUUACAGCCCGUGGAUACGGGCCUGUAUUAGGGCGUAGCACCCACGUCCUGUAUACAGGCUGUUGCAGCUGUAGCUUAUGCGCAUGCGCUAGCUUGGGGCAGGAUGACGUCACCUGACUACAAAAAGAGAAUGAGACAGACAGAGCUCUGAGAAAAAAUCCUGCUGCUUGUCACAAGAGGAGCUGGUCCAAAAAGACAACUUGAAGAGGACUAUACACUAUUAGUCUACCUGUGAACAGAAAAAGGUUUGCACGUUGUUAUGGACUUUUGAAGCUGGAACACUGGCCAAUUUUACAAGGCUCCCAUCUGAAGUUUUUUCACUUUUUUGAUAAAGAGGUGUUGAAGAAUGCUCCCAGAUAAUGCUGCCGAGUUGAAGUCUGGACUAAUUACACACUAGAUGUUGUCAGAAGAAUGAACUAAAGAAAAAGCAACAGUUUCCUGUUGCGAGAUAUCUUCGAGAUGAAAAAGAGCCCUUGUAAUGUGUACAGCACACUGUAAGCUGUUGACUGACUUCAUAGUACGCCGAUGUUGAAAAACUCAAGAUUUCUUUAUUGGCAUGCCGAGUUGGAGUCUGGAUGUGUUAGAUUGAAGUUUUUAGACGAAUGAUAAAGAGAAUGCAACAAUUGCCUGCUGGUGAGCUAUCUCGGAGAUGAAGAACGGCCCUUCAAGCUGUUCACUGACUUCAUAGUACGCCGAGUCUAUCUUUGUGCACAAAAACAAGACGAAUAAUUAUAAAUACAUGCCACCGUGGGGAUGUGAAGACACGGACAUGAUAAUGAAUAAUGAGAGACAUAAUGUAGCUGAACAGAAAUUAAUAUAUAUAUAUAUCUUGUUCUUGUCUUCUUAAUUG